AUGGAUGAAUUUUGUCUUUUCUUUGGCAGAUCUUUAACGGAUGGCUACCGAAUUUUGUUAGCAACCUAUAAACUGUGUACGGCCAGCAGUUGCCAGCAGUUUCCCGUUAUAUAUACUGCCGCCGCUCAUCCCACCCGUAUCCUCGUCUGCGCAUUCUCUCUCGCUCGCCUUCUCAAUUUCUCUCCCUCUAUCUUUGCAUCAUCGCCAAUGGCGCCGUCGGUGAGCCAACACGCCGAGGAGAAGGUGCCGCUCCGCAACGACGACCUGGCCCCAAGCAGUGACGAGGAGGACCCCUACGCGCCACCGGACUUGGUCGCGUCUGAUCCCCCCACCGAGGAGUGGUUUUGGAGUCAAUUCGACCUCGCUCUGUGGAAGACGUUGCCGCCAGCUGAAAAAGCCAGGCGUGUGGCGAUCAUGAAGACGGACGAGAAGAAGCGCGAGGAGGAAGAGGCGGCUAAGGCCGCCCGGAAGGUGGAGGAGUUGGAGCUCUGGCGGGAGGCGCGUUGGCACGCGCAGGAGGUCGAUGAAGACGGCCGCUUCAACGCCAAGAGGGCCAGAGGCGCUUUGCGCCUCCUCGUUACAUGGAGGUGGGCGGAUCGCAUCGAGAAGGCCACCGAUGAAGAGCUCACCUACGCGUCGUCUACAAUGGCCAGGGCGGAGGCCUACGCCCGCCGGGAAGCUGCCGACGCGCAUGUUGCGGAGUGCGAGGCGGAGGAGGAGGCUAUCUCCCUCCGCGCUGGGAAGCCGGUGCGCACUAGGGAGCCCGUGGCCAGACGCAAGGAAAGGGCCCUCAAGAGGGACUAUUGA
rnacentral:rRNA from 1 species